GUCGGCAUGGUUACACGCUGUUUUCCCAGUGUAGAGGAGCCGUUCCAGCUCAGACACUGUUAGCACCGGGGACCCGCGCCCCGAAUCUUUCCUGUUGGGAGAUCUCGAGCUGCUCCGGGACCGGGAGAACCGGGACAUGAACGCCAUCUGGGACGUGUGCUUCUGCUCUUCCAGGACAGCCUCAACUUUGUCCUGUCAGACCUCAACAUGCAGUUGUUGGAUGGGGCUCACAACAGCCUUCACGACCCCCACCUACGGUCCUUCUACAGCCCGCAGGACAGGCAGGAGAGACUGUUUAAGGCUGGCUGUAGAACCACUGAUCAAAAGACUCUCAGGAACGGACGGGAUUAGGUUGAUGUCUGUGUGGACAGGAGACUCCAUCGCCAUCCCAUGUAUCUAUCAUCAGGAUUACCUAAACCAUGUCAAAUACUGGUGUAAAGGGGAUUCCUGGAUUACAUGCUCUUAUGUGGUACGCACUGACCAUCCCAACAGCAGUGGUAAAACCUCAAUAUCUGAUGCCGUCAAUCUGAGAACCUUUACUGUGACUAUGAAAAGUCUAGAACAAAGAGAUUCUGAUAUUUACUGGUGUGUAGUGGAGAAGAACGGACCAGAUGAAUGGCUAGAAUUGUUCAAACUAGUCAUUACAUACUGUCCUAUUGUUGACCAAGAGGAGACUGGAGUUGAGGGGGGUAGUGUUUUUACAUCAAUACCAACUAUUCAAGAGAUGUUUGCAGUUCAAACCACAACACAGUUUACCACCACCAUCACAAUGCCAAUGCCAACUACCCAAGAGCUCGCAGUUAUGAUGGGAGAAUAUGCACUAUCCUCUUCCACCUCGCAGGCCUCAGUCAACAACACACACCAUGGAGUCCAGCGAUGGGAGCGAACAUUAUUCUACCUGCCGAAAACUGUUAAUGCAGUGGUCUUCCUCUUGUGCACCAUCAUGGCUGUGGUGAAGUAUAGGACAAACCGACUCCGAGGUCAAACUGAGGAUGAGUAGAAACCUCUGAGGUGCCGCUUGGAGUAUCACUUCACACACCACUGUGGACACACUCUCACAUUCACUCACUAUGGAAAAGUUAUUCAAUGUGUUUAACAGACAUCUCAAGUGUUUCAUGGUUAGCCUAUAUCUCAAGUGUUUCAUGGUUAGCCUAUAUCUCAAGUGUUUCAUGGUUAGCCUAUAUCUCAAGUGUUUCAUGGUUAGCCUAUAUCUCAAGUGUUUCAUGGUUAGCCUAUAUCUCAAGUGUUUCAUGGUUAGCCUAUAUCUCAAGUGUUUCAUGGUUAGCCUAUAUCUCAAGUGUUUCAUGGUUAGCCUAUAUCUCAAGUGUUUCAUGGUUAGCCUAUAUCUCAAGUGUUUCAUGGUUAGCCUAUAUCUCAAGUGUUUCAUGGUUAGCCUAUAUCUCAAGUGUUUCAUGGUUAGCCUAUAUCUCAAGUGUUUCAUGGUUAGCCUAUAUCUCAAGUGUUUCAUGGUUAAGCCUAUAUCUCAAGUGUUUCAUGGUUAGCCUAUAUCUCAAGUGUUUCAUGGUUAGCCUAUAUCUCAAGUGUUUCAUGGUUAGCCUAUAUCUCAAGUGUUUCAUGGUUAGCCUAUAUCUCAAGUGUUUCAUGGUUAGCCUAUGUGUACUUGUAAAAUGGAACUCAUGAAAGUGUUGUUGACAGAUAGUUAUUAAGUUGAUUCAUAGUUGAUAUUUGGUCAUUUUGCAUCCUAGGGACAUUUUGAAGUUAUAUAUCUUGAAAACUUGAUUGCUGACAAGCAAAACAUUUUGGGACGAUGUCAACAAUGGACUAAUGAAACAAAUACCAAAAGACAGUUUCUGGGUGGAGUUUUCCUUUAACAAAUCCCAUUCUGUCUAUGUUCUCCAGCUUUAUAAAUGGAAUAUGAAUGCCUUGCUAA